rnacentral:rRNA from 1 species
UACGAAGGGGGCUAGCGUUGUCCGGAUUUAUUGGGCGUAAAGAGCGUGUAGGCGGCCACACAGGUCAGCUGUGAAAACUCGAGGCUCAACCUCGAGACGUCGGUUGAAACCGUAUGGCUAGAGUCCGGAAGAGGAGAGUGGAAUUCCCGGUGUAGCGGUGAAAUGCGCAGAUAUCGGGAAGAACACCCGUGGCGAAGGCGGCUCUCUGGGACGGUACUGACGCUGAGACGCGAAAGCGUGGGGAGCGAACAGG